CUAUGGUGAAAUCUUUCUCUGAUAAAGACUAAGAAAUAUUUAAACAACCCAGACAGACCACAGGGGGUGACAAUCACGACAAGAAAUGAGCAGUGUAUGGCUAGUGACCUGUCUUCCCAAGAGAUGUCUCUUUGGAAUUAUUCCUGGAAUUAGACCAGCAUGAGUUCUUCUCUACCAAUCUGAGGUAAUACCACUGAAUGGCAAGAAAUACAAAGUGAUGUAUGUCCAGCUGACAGUGUCAACCCUUGCAGAAGUUCCACAUGCCUGGAGACAAAAAUAAACACAUAAAUAAAAAAGCCAAGAGAGUGGGUAAAUCUGGGGGCAUCAUCACUUCAUGAGGCAUGUUAAACAUACAUUCCUCUCUGAGGGAUAUAAGGCAAACGCUUCUGUAUGUGAUGGACAUGUUUUAUUAAGUGAUAACCCAGACUUCUGCCAUGAAGCACCUUCUUGAACAUUAACUAGUUAUUUACCUAACAGUUUAGUGGCAAAUACAAGGGCAUUGUCAUUUUUGGUUAAUUUGUACAUCCUUUACAAAGAAAAGUCAGACAAUUUAAAAUGAGAAUGAGGACAGAUAAUGUUAUAUGCUUUGAUAUUGCUCAGGCUGAAGACUUUUGCUAGAAAAAAAACAUUCAAAUUCUCUUUCCUUCAACCUGGUAUAUACCAGAUGAUGUUUUGGUUGCAACUUUUUGUAUCAGGGUGAGCCUGACAUAAAGUGAGGGCAGAAUCAGGCCUACAGGGACAUGCACAUAUAAAUAGGGCCAGUAUAAUUUGCCAAGUGAUAUGCAUGAAAAGUAAUUUACUUGCUGUGGAAUUAUCUUUUGAAAUGUUUUCUUUAAGUGUUCAUAGCUAAAAAGCAGCAGAAAUACACCCAGGUCUGAGGUGUAUCUGUAUCAUUCUGCUUCCUUGAGGUUAUAUGAAUUAUGUAUGCCCUCUUCACUUUGGAUAACAGUCUGGUCUUGGAAAGAUAUUAAUUAUUAUGUAAUAACUUUCUCUAAUUGUUUCUCACUUUAGAGGAUUUAAAAAAUUGGUUGUGUUGACAAUAGCAAAGGAUAAUUAAUGGUUGUUAAAAUGGCUGUAGUACAAAAUGAAAUGCUCACUGCUUCUGCUAGUAAUGUCAGAAAGAAAAAGUCUGUAUGAUUUUAAGGAUAUUAUAGUUGCAUUAUGUUUCUGCUCCUUUUUAUGGGAGGAGAAAUAUUCAAAUGUUUCUGCCGUUUAUGCACCCGGAAAAGCCUGCAUCAAGUCAAUCAAAUUAUUAAUCGGAUAGCACAUUAAAAUAUCCCUAAACACACUGCAAACAACGUACAAAUCCUUAUUGUUCAGAAAACCUAUUUACUUUAAAGGUUUGACCUGAUUUCAGUGGGAGCUCUGUUAAUAGGGGGUUGAAAAUUUAGGUUCUUAAUAAUAAAGAAAUCUUGACUUCAAAAAUACAAAUUAAAAAAAUAAAACACAUUUUAAAA